UACGUAGGCAGCAAGCGUUGUUCGGAGUUACUGGGCGUAAAGAGUGCGUAGGUGGUGCCCUAAGUCUGUUGUGAAAUCUCCCGGCUUAACUGGGAGGGUGCGGUGGAGACUGGGGUGCUUGAGUGUGGGAGAGGUAAGCGGAAUUCCUGGUGUAGCGGUGAAAUGCGUAGAUAUCAGGAGGAACACCGGUGGUGUAGACGGCUUACUGGACCACGACUGACACUGAGGCACGAAAGCGUGGGUAGCAAACAGG
rnacentral:rRNA from 1 species